CUUUUGACCUCGGAUCAGGUAGGGAUACCCGCUGAACUUAAGCAUAUCAAUAAGCGGAGGAAAAGAAACCAACAGGGAUUGCCCUAGUAACGGCGAGUGAAGCGGCAACAGCUCAAAUUUGAAAUCUGGCUCUUUCAGAGUCCGAGUUGUAAUUUGCAGAGGGCGCUUUGGCGUUGGCAGCGGUCCAAGUUCUUUGGAACAGGACGUCACAGAGGGUGAGAAUCCCGUACGUGGUCGCUAGCCUUCGCCGUGUAAAGCCCCUUCGACGAGUCGAGUUGUUUGGGAAUGCAGCUCUAAAUGGGAGGUAAAUUUCUUCUAAAGCUAAAUACUGGCCAGAGACCGAUAGCGCACAAGUAGAGUGAUCGAAAGAUGAAAAGCACUUUGGAAAGAGAGUCAAAUAGCACGUGAAAUUGUUGAAAGGGAAGCGCUUGCAGCCAGACUUGCCUGUAGUUGCUUAUCUGGACUUUUGUCCAGUGCACUCUUCUGCGGGCAGGCCAGCAUCAGUUUGGGCGGUUGGAUAAAGGUCUCUGUCAUGUACCUCUCUUCGGGGAGGCCUUAUAGGGGAGACGACAUGCAACCAGCCUGGACUGAGGUCCGCGCAUCUGCUAGGAUGCUGGCGUAAUGGCUGUAAGCGGCCCGUCUUGAAACACGGACCAAGGAGUCUAACAUCUAUGCGAGUGUUUGGGUGUCAAGCCCAGACGCGUAAUGAAAGUGAACGGAGGUGGGAACCUUAGGGUGCACCAUCGACCGAUCCUGAUGUCUUCGGAUGGAUUUGAGUAAGAGCAUGGCUGUUGGGACCCGAAAGAUGGUGAACUAUGCUUGAAUAGGGUGAAGCCAGAGGAAACUCUGGUGGAGGCUCGCAGCGGUUCUGACGUGCAAAUCGAUCGUCAAAUUUGGGCAUAGGGGCGAAAGACUAAUCGAACUAUCUAGUAGCUGGUUCCUGCCGAAUUUCCCCUCAGGAUAGCAGUAACGUAUUCAGUUUUUAUGAGGUAAA
rnacentral:rRNA from 1 species